GAUGAAGAACGCAGUGAAAUGCGAUAAGUAAUGUGAAUUGCAGAAUUCAGUGAAUCAUCGAAUCUUUGAACGCACAUUGCGCCCGCCAGUAUUCUGGCGGGCAUGCCUGUUCGAGCGUCAUUACAACCCUCAGGCCCCCGGGCCUGGCGUUGGGGAUCGGCGAGGCGCCCCCCGCGGGCACGCGCCGUCCCCCAAAUACAGUGGCGGUCCCGCCGCAGCUUCCAUUGCGUAGUAGCUAACACCUCGCAACUGGAGAGCGGCGCGGCCAUGCCGUAAAACACCCAACUUCUGAAUGUUGACCUCGAAUCAGGUAGGAAUACCCGCUGAACUUAAGCAUAUCAAUAAGCGGAGGA
rnacentral:misc_RNA from 1 species